CAGAUCCACUCGGCUCUCUUCUCUUCUGCGUCCUGCUCUAUGGCCUGGGAAGCUGAUCUCCAAGGAUCGCAUUCCUAGGGCUCUCUGGCCCAUGGGCUUCCCGUUGGGUUUGCCCAAUGGACAGCCAUGGCAGAAGAUCAAAGGGAAGAUGGCAGGAAGCUGUCCCCCACUCCUCGCCUGGCUGAGUUCUGGCGAUGGCUGCCAUCCAGGGUCCUGAGUCCCACCAGGUUUUACCCCUUGAAGUGAGAAAGAACACGUCUACAACCCUCCCUCAUUCCAGAGGCUGUGUUUUUGCCCUUUGGUCAUGCAGAUGGGGCUAAAGCGAAGUUACAACAUUGGAAAAUGUCUUCUUAACGUCACACUGAUCUCCUUAAGGCAACGAGCCCCACAUGCUCUCUGAGGCCUGUGCACGUGUUCUGAGGACCCAGUUAUGUGCUGCGUGAUUCCAGAGGUGAACAGACCCUCACAGAUCACCUCUCCUCACCCUCUCAUGAGAGGGAAACUGAGGCUCAGGGGGAGAAUUGGCAAAGGUUACACUUGGUGGUGGGUUUGGAAUCUGCCCUGUGGACGCCCGACUAACCAUUUCUGCCAGAUGCGCGUGGGAAGUAAAAUGGGAAGAGGUGCUCCAUAGGAGGAGGGGACGUGGGUACAGUCACGUGGACCCGUGAGCCGGUCACCUGCGAGGCACCAGGGCCUACAGGAAAGGUGCCCGCUGUCGGCUUCCGCAGGGAAUUUCGUUAUCUUUGUGAGGUAGGGUGGAACUUGCAUCCUGAACAUUAAAGUUUACAUGCCAAGGAGGGCGGUGGAGUCCUUGGAACUUCCUGCCUCCCCCUGAGGCUGCCUCCC
rnacentral:lncRNA from 10 species